UACGUAGGGUGCGAGCGUUGUCCGGAAUUAUUGGGCGUAAAGAGCUCGUAGGCGGUGUGUCGCGUCGGCCGUGAAAAACCUGGGGGCCUCAACUCUGGGCGUGCGGUUGAUACGGGCAUCACUUGAGUUCGGCAGGGGGAGACUGGAAUUCCUGGUGUAGCGGUGAAAUGCGCAGAUAUCAGGAGGGAACACCGGUGGGCGAAGGCGGGUCUCUUGGGCCGAUACUGAC
rnacentral:rRNA from 1 species